GUGAUAAUUUGUAAAGCAAUAUUAAAGACCGCGUCUGCCACCAUAGUGGCGCUGCGUUGUCAAUUGUCAAUGCUUUGCUAAACCAAUAUUUAUAGUUCCUCUUUUAAAAUUAAAAACAGCAUUUAUUAAUCAAAUUAUGUCAGUUGGAUACAUAAUUGUGAAGGCACCUCGGUUAAAUCUGAUUUAAAUUGAGCAGACCUCAGUAUUUGAAAUAAUUAGAAUUUAAAUUGAAUCACUUACAUAAAUAAGAACAUGUGGCUUAAGAUGUUUGACUGCAGUCGCUACACCUGCCAGAAGUCCACCUCCUCCUACUGG